rnacentral:rRNA from 1 species
CACGUAGGGCGCAAGCGUUGUCCGGAAUUAUUGGGCGUAAAGAGCUCGUAGGCGGUCUGUUGCGUCCGCUGUGAAAACUCGGGGCUUAACCCCGAGCCUGCAGUGGAUACGGGCAGACUAGAGGUAGGUAGGGGAGAAUGGAAUUCCCGGUGUAGUGGUGAAAUGCGUAGAUAUCGGGAGGAACACCAGUGGCGAAGGCGACUACCUGGCCUGUUCUUGACGCUGAGGCGCGAAAGCUAGGGGAGCAAACGGG